AUGGACCAAUCCAUCCCUUUUUCCCGUGCAUAUGCAUCGGACUCGGAUGACGAUGGUCCCGAUGAAGAAGUUGAUGAGGAGGGGUUCACGCCGAAGGAGGCCGAAGCAUUCAAGAAGGUAUUCGGGCGGGAUCACAAGACACCAUUGUUCAAGGAUCUUAGUCUCGCGGAUGAAGCCGUUGUGGAUGGUGGCAAAUGCAUAUCUCUUAGAGCUAGGCCAAGUUCUCACCGUGAUUUGGAAGACGGCAAGAACGGGAUAUAUCCCGGUUGUGAGUUUCAAUCCUUCUUGGAAUUGAAGAUGUGGCUCGACAACUACUCGGUUACACAUUAUCGUCCACAUAAAGUGGCCAACUCGGAUGUUAAUGUGCGUUACAUGGUCAAAUGUGAAGUGCCAACAUGUCCAUGGAUUGUGCGUGCAAGGCCAUGGAAAGGAGGUCCCACUUGGCGCAUAGUGAGUUGUCUACCAACUCACAUGUGCCAGCAAAGAAUGCGGAUGGCAAGCUUGUGCACCAACAACACAGACAACUCACGUCCGAGUUCAUUGCUUACAGGCUGUCCAACCAAAUAUCCACACUUCCAAUAA
rnacentral:rRNA from 1 species